AGUGCCACUCCCUGAUGUCUAAGCAUUCAAAUACAUGGGCCUAUGGAGACUAAUCUUAUUCAAACACCACAGGGGCCUACCCAGCUGAAAGUCACUGGCAGUCCUUAGGGACUGCCUAGCCCCUCUUUCUGGUUGGGGAUUGGUUCUGAUGUUUUGAUUUAAUUGGGAAUCUGUGUGUCCAAACGCUGAAGAACCUUGUCUCCAAUUGGCUUUUGAUUGAUCAAUAAAGAUGCCAGUGACCAAUGGCAAAGGCACAGGCAAGGAUGCAGGGGAGGAGAGAGAAGAAUUGCUAUGACGAGGGUGGUGUGUGUGUGUGUGUGUGUGUGUCUGUCUGUCUGUCUUUCAUUUGUGUCUCCAAAUAACUGCAGGGCUGGCAGCUGGACCUGUGACCCUCUGGGAGCAUAAAGCAAAGUAGCCAAACUCCACACUACAUUUUCUAAUGUAUGUGUAGUUGGAGAAGUAUAUUUCUAACUCUUUGUUUGUUUGGUUGGUUGGUUGGUUGUUGUUGUUGUUGUUGUUGUUGUUUGAGACAGGGUUUCUCUGUGUGGCCGUGGCUGUCCUGGAACUCGCUUUGUAGACCAAGCUGGCCUCAAACUCAGCAAUCUGCCUGCCUCUGGCUCCCAAGUGCUGGAACUAAAGGCAUGUGCCACCACUACCUGGCUCUUGUUUUACAGAACACUGUAUGCUUUGACAUGUAUUACCUUUCUUUGCAUUCAGGCUAUAGCAUUUUAAUUUUCAUAGUGACUUCUUUCUUUACAUACAGACUAUUUAGAACUAUCUUUUUUCCUUGUAGACAUAUACUGUCUGUGUGUGUGUGUGUGUGUGUGUGUGUGUGUUUCCAUUGAUGAUUUCAAAUUUAACUUUAUUAUGCUCAGAAAGCAUGCUGUAUAUGUCAAUGUUUUUGAAAUUUGUGAAAGUUGCUUUAAUAGUUUGCUUUUUAUAUACAUAUUUUGUUUGUUAGGUUAAUGUUCUAAGCAACUUAAAUCAAGCUGUGUUAAUCUUAUUGUUGAAACACUCUUCACCUAACAUACCCUUGCUACUUAUUUUAUUAGCUACUGCAGCUUUUAAGACCUUUCAUUAUGAUCAUGGGUUUCUUUAAAAUUUUUGGGUUGGAGAGAUGGCUCAGUGGAUAAAAACAUUUACCACUGAAGCAUUAGAAGCAAUGUUUACACACUGUCUUAGUGUUUCUGUUGCUGGGAAGAGACACCAUGACCAAGGCAAUGCAUAUAAAGGACAACAUUUAACUGAGGCUGGCUUACAGGUUCAGGGGUUUAGUCCAUUAUCAUCAAGGUGGGGCACAUGGCAGCAUCCAGGCAGGCAUGGUGCAGGGGGAACUGAGAGUUCUAUGUUUUAAUCUAACUGCAUCCAGGAGAAUCACUGAUUGUCUCCCAGGCAACUAGGAGGAGGGACUCAAAGCCCACCCCCACAGUGACAUACUUCCUCCAACAAGGCCACACCUCCUAAUUGUGCCACACUCUGGGCCAAGCAUUCAAAUCACCACAGUUUCCAAGAACUCACAUAAGACAGGCAGACAUGGUGACCACCUGUCACCCUAGUACUUGGAAGGCAGAGACAGGGAAUGCCUAGAACAAGCCAUCUGGCUGGAGUAGUUGGAAUCAGUGUACUCCAGUCCAAUCAGAGUCCCUGGCUCAAAAACUAAAGUGAAGAACAGGCAAGGAAGAUACUUGAUAUCAAAUUUGUGCCCACCACAUAUACAUCAGCACACACAUCCAAACUUGUAUACUCACACAUACACAUGUAAGAGGAAAACAGUUGUGUUUCUGUCCGUUUUUGCAUUAUACGUAGUCUGUCUGUCUGUGUUAUUAUAUAUUUCUGAAGAGAAUCUUAUUAUACAGUGAUUCUCUAUUUCUAGUGAUGGGCUAACUUUAGAGUCUAUUUGACAGUAAUGUUCCUGUACUAGGUUGCUCUUGGGAGAGGGAUGUUAGUGUUUAUGUGUUUCCUUUCUUUUUUCUUCUUUUCUUUUUUUUUUUUCACUCUUAGUUUGAGCCAUUUUGUUUUAUGUUUUAAAUGUAUCUUUGUGUAUCCUAUCUGAAAGUAAUCUUUAUUUUAUAUUUAAUAUUGGUUUAAAUAAUAUUUAACAUAAUUGGUGAUUAUAUUUUUGUUCUAUUAUAUACAUUCUUUUUAAUAUUUUAUUUUUUUAAUUUUAUAUAUAGGAUAUAUGUCUAUAUACCACAUGCUUGCCCAUGGAGGCCAGAAGAGGUCAUCAGAUCCCCUGGAACUGGAGUCUAGACAGUUGUGAGCUGCCAUGUGGGUGCUGAGACUUGAACCUGGGUCCUCUAGAAGAGCAAGUGGUGCUCUUACCUGCUGAGCCAAGUUUCUAGCCAAUAUUAUAUGUGUUUUUCUUCUGCUUGAUGGUUCUUGUUUCAUUUUCACUUUUAUUUUACUCAUUUUAGAAUUAUAUACUUGUAUUAGAAAUUAUAGACCAUAUUUGUGCUUUAGCAAUACAGGUCAUUUGGGUGUUUAGAAUAUUUUAGUUCCAUAUUUGCCCCACAAGAUAAAUGCUAGUUGUACAGUAGUCACAUGCAAUAAAGGCAAAGUUACUACAUACAUUCAAAGUUUAAGGGCAUGGAUUCUAGUCUAGCCAAGAAAGAGAUAUGGGAAAGUGAAAAAUUGUGUGUCCCUGUAGAAGACAAUUGGUAAUCAUUUCUAUUCAUGACCAUUAUAGCAAGUUAGUCUGAGAAGAAAUAGGUCUUAUGUUGAGAGAUGGUCCUAGUAGUAUUGCUCUUUUUCAUUUGUAGCAACUGCGCUCCAAUAUCCGAGAAAUGGAGAAGCUUUGCUUGAAAGUGCACAAGGAUGAUCUGGUCCUUUUGAAGCGAAUGAUAGAUCCUGUCAAGGAAGCAGCAGCAACAGCUACGGCAGAGUUCCUCCAGCUCCACUUGGAAUCUGUUGAAGAACUCAAGAAACAAGUCAACGAUGAAGAAUUACUUCAGCCUUCUCUGACCAGAUCCACAACUGUUGAUGGUAACAUAUGUCUUACUUUUGAUCCUACUUGGCACAGUUAGAGAGAGCUCACCUACUCAGGUGUGAUGAACAGAGAGAGGCCCUUGUAAAUCCUUGUCGUUGCUAAGCCAACUCCAAACAGACCAGACAUGUGUACCCUGGAAAUUUUGCAAGAUAAGAUUGUGUGGAUUGGAACUUUGUGGCUUCUAGUACCUGCUUGCUUGUAUUGAAAAGAGAAGUUUAAGUUACUCCUAAAGAUAAUGUUGUCCUUGUGUGCAGUGUGUACCUUUCUGCUCUGCAGUGCAGGGCAGGCUGUCCAGUAGCUGUCCUUGUGUGCAGUGCACAUGUCUCUCCUCCGCAGUGCAGACAGGAGUUGUUCUGACGUCACUGUUGGGUCUCUCUCCUAAUAUGAAGAGUCUAUGGUGUGUUCAUGCUGUCCAGAACUUUUGUGAAGUAAUAUUCUAAGAAACAGUCCUAUGAACACAGUUAUGUCAUUUCUAAGGGUGUAUUUGAUAAUCCUUGGUGACACAAUGCUAGUAUCUUUUAUGCAGAAAAAAAUUGGCAUCAUUGUACUUGAAAGUAGCUGGUUUUUGUUUGGUUGGGAGGUUUGGUUUAGAUUAAGUCUUAUAAGUAGUGAGUGGAAUAACUAAUAAGGUUUCUGUAAUUGAGUUAUCUCCUAGGAAGCUUAAAGCCAAAAUUUUAAUCACCAAAAAUUAAAUUUGUGAAGUGUAUCAGCUUUAUUUUAUAACUGCUGCCUUUGUUUCCUUUUCUGUUGUAAUUGUUUAUCUCUUAUUUUUAAUUUAUUACAUUUUAUAUUUUAUAUGUUUAAAGAGACUUUUAAUCCUUAUGAAAAAUAUGGGCUACAAAAGAAUUAGAAGUUAAAGUGAGAACUUAAGGGAACUGUUGCUGGCCAGGUUUCCUUUUUAUCCAGCAGACCACUCUUGUUACCAUUCCCUAUCUCUAAAUUAAAAUGUGUGCAUGUUCACUGCCAAUGAUUCAGUAGUUUGCAAGGGGACGCAGAAACAUUUAGGCUGCCUGGCAGAGUUUUUGGGUAACCUUUUUUAUAGUCUUUGUAACUUGCACAGUGCUUUGCACAUAGUGAACUGUUCAUAGAUGUAUUACAAAUACAAGACAUGGACAAUUUCAUCGUCAUUUCAGAUAUAUUGCAACAGAGCUGGGCACGGUGCUGCAUAUGUGCAAUCCGGCACUUGGGAAGUUGGGCUAGGGUGAGCAAUUGGGACUUAAAGGCUAUCCUGGGCUAUAUAAGCCUUUUCUUAUAAAUCAAAUCAAACC
rnacentral:lncRNA from 1 species